rnacentral:rRNA from 1 species
UACGGAGGGUGCAAGCGUUAAUCGGAAUUACUGGGCGUAAAGCGAGUGUAGGCGGCUACGUAAGUCGGAUGUGAAAGCCCUGGGCUUAACCUAGGAAUGGCAUUCGAUACUGCGUGGCUAGAGUCUGAUAGAGGGAAGUGGAAUUCCAGGUGUAGCGGUGAAAUGCGUAGAUAUCUGGAGGAACAUCAGUGGCGAAGGCGGCUUCCUGGAUCAAGACUGACGCUCAGGCUCGAAAGCGUGGGUAGCAAACAGG